AUAAUCAACACUUUCUUUUACAAGUUUCAACUAGCGCAUGCUGUUGCUGUUGCCAGCUAGCCAGCAUAAACUAGCUAGUUGGAAAGGGCUCAUCAGAGUCGACUGACACAACUGACUGAACCAAAUCCAUUCGUCUCCACUUGACUCUCAGCUGCACGACAUACGUCAUCAAUUUGGGCACCAGGCAUGUCCGUAUUGCCUCUCCCCAACUGAUUAACGUCAGGAAGUUCUUAGGUUCAACAGGGGUCAUGUGACCUGAAAGUUCAGCUGGACAUCUGGACAGUGGACACCCAACAGUAUCUGAAGGCUACGACUCGUGUCUAAAUGCGCACCGGAGCAGGACUUUUCAAUGUCACGUCAAGGCUAAUUAAUCCUGUGAGACAGACCGACAGCAGACUGACCCAAGACCCCUGAUGAGAAGGUGAUCGAGAGAGUUGGCGCAGAUCCGGAAAGCUCUGACAGAGAUGGAUCCACUUUUACGCCUGCUACGUUAGGUUGGAUACGCACAGACUGCAUACGCCGCCAUAUGAGAGAGGAAUGUACACAACAACAAGAGAGCGGACAGAGACAGUUCGUGAAAGUAUCUACUUUGAAAACUCGUAAAAUGAUUGUCAGACAGCUCUGCAGAAUACUUAGGCAGGCUCGCCUAGCUAAAUAGGAGGACUAAAGACAGUACGGUAUGGAGAGAACAGAGAUAACGUUAGAUGGUGGUCUGGCUGGCACUGCCUGAGCAGGGAUGAGAUGAUGACUUUAAGGAGUGAAAUAUUACAAAUUCAAAGUAAUACACACAACUGAGACAAUGGAAUAUUUUAAAUGUUUUGGCAAUUGAAUGUUCACAAUUGUUGUCUUUGGAAUAUCCAUUAAAAAGCUCUAAUAAUUUGAAUGUAAA